AUUGAACGCUGGCGGCAUGCCUUACACAUGCAAGUCGAACGGCAGCACGGGAGCUUGCUCCUGGUGGCGAGUGGCGAACGGGUGAGUAAUACAUCGGAACGUACCCUGAAGUGGGGGAUAACGUAGCGAAAGUUACGCUAAUACCGCAUAUUCUGUGAGCAGGAAAGAGGGGGAUCGCAAGACCUCUUGCUUUAGGAGCGGCCGAUGUCGGAUUAGCUAGUUGGUGAGGUAAAGGCUCACCAAGGCGACGAUCCGUAGCGGGUCUGAGAGGAUGAUCCGCCACACUGGGACUGAGACACGGCCCAGA
rnacentral:rRNA from 1 species